GGGGCACUAGCUGUCAAAUUCAUGGUCACCGAUUUGACUCAAAUUCUCUUAUUUGAUUUAUAACAAUGUAAAACAUUUAUCCAAACUAUCAAAAGUCUAAAAUAAACAAUUUACAGAGCAUGGGGUAGAUAAUAUAUAAGUUCGUUUCGUGUGUAUUUAGUCCAGACGCCAUCUAAUUAACUAUCGAUUUGACCUCAGAUGACCAUAUAAGCGAUGUAAACAUAAAUAAAGAUAUGAAUAGAUUAAACCAACACGUGC
rnacentral:lncRNA from 1 species